rnacentral:rRNA from 1 species
CAGGCCUAACACAUGCAAGUCGAACGCCCCGCAAGGGGAGUGGCAGACGGGUGAGUAACACGUGGGAACGUACCCUUUGGUUCGGAACAACCCUGGGAAACUAGGGCUAAUACCGGAUACGCGCGAGAGCGGAAAGGUUUACCGCCGAAGGAUCGGCCCGCGUCUGAUUAGCUAGUUGGUGAGGUAACGGCUCACCAAGGCGACGAUCAGUAGCUGGUCCGAGAGGAUGAUCAGCCACAUUGGGACUGAGACACGGCCCAAACUCCUACGGGAGGCAGCAGUGGGGAAUAUUGGACAAUGGGCGCAAGCCUGAUCCAGCCAUGCCGCGUGAGUGAUGACGGCCCUAGGGUUGUAAAGCUCUUUUACCUGGGAAGAUAAUGACGGUACCAGGAGAAUAAGCCCCGGCUAACUUCGUGCCAGCAGCCGCGGUAAU